GUGAUUUUGACUACCAUCAAAGUGGUUCCCCCUAAAGCCAUGUGUGCCUGUCUACAUGGACAGCCAUUAUUCAUGGCCUAUGUGAAAUGCAGGCAUUAUCCUGGCAGGAAGCUGAGCAGGUGUUCCUCAGUGGCCCUUCUUAUCACUCUAGUGAAGUCGAGGAAUUUG